UGUGACUGCGUACCUUUUGUAUAAUGGGUCAGCGACUUAUAUUCUGUAGCAAGGUUAACCGAAUAGGGGAGCCGAAGGGAAACCGAGUCUUAACUGGGCGUUAAGUUGCAGGGUAUAGACCCGAAACCCGGUGAUCUAGCCAUGGGCAGGUUGAAGGUUGGGUAACACUAACUGGAGGACCGAACCGACUAAUGUUGAAAAAUUAGCGGAUGACUUGUGGCUGGGGGUGAAAGGCCAAUCAAACCGGGAGAUAGCUGGUUCUCCCCGAAAGCUAUUUAGGUAGCGCCUCGUGAAUUCAUCUCCGGGGGUAGAGCACUGUUUCGGCAAGGGGGUCAUCCCGACUUACCAACCCGAUGCAAACUGCGAAUACCGGAGAAUGUUAUCACGGGAGACACACGGCGGGUGCUAACGUCCGUCGUGAAGAGGGAAACAACCCAGACCGCCAGCUAAGGUCCCAAAGUCAUGGUUAAGUGGGAAACGAUGUGGGAAGGCCCAGACAGCCAGGAUGUUGGCUUAGAAGCAGCCAUCAUUUAAAGAAAGCGUAAUAGCUCACUGGUCGAGUCGGCCUGCGCGGAAGAUGUAACGGGGCUAAACCAUGCACCGAAGCUGCGGCAGCGACACUAUGUGUUGUUGGGUAGGGGAGCG
rnacentral:rRNA from 1 species